GUAGGUGAACCUGCGGAAGGAUCAUUAACACGUAUCCACGUAUCAACCCCUCUGUGAAAACCUAUCUCUUGUAAGGUUUGGUCUUAGUGUGCUGUUCGCAAUUAAGUCCUAAUGAUGGAGGCUCUUUUUGGAGAGCCUAGGGCUUGAAAUUAAUAUUAGCACCAGCCGCCACUUUUCCAAUGAUUCGUUGGUCCUUUACAACUUUUAACCCCUUUGUCCUCUUUUGUACUCUUUUGGACUGAACCAAUUC
rnacentral:misc_RNA from 1 species